rnacentral:rRNA from 1 species
CUACCCUUGACAUGUCUGGGNUCCUUAAGAGAUUAGGGAGUGCUCGCAAGAGAACCGGAACACAGGUGCUGCAUGGCUGUCGUCAGCUCGUGUCGUGAGAUGUUGGGUUAAGUCCCGCAACGAGCGCAACCCUUGUCAUUAGUUGCUACGAAAGGGCACUCUAAUGAGACUGCCGGUGACAAACCGGAGGAAGGUGGGGAUGACGUCAAGUCCUCAUGGCCCUUAUGGGUAGGGCUUCACACGUCAUACAAUGGUCGGGACAGAGGGUCGCCAACCCGCGAGGGGGAGCCAAUCCCAGNAACCCGAUCGUAGUCCGGNCCGCAGUCUGCAACUCGACUGCGUGAAGUCGGAAUCGNUAGUAAUCCCGGAUCAGAAUGUCGCGGNGAANACGUUCCCGGGUNUUGNACACNCCGCCCGUCACACCAUGGGAGUGGGUUUUACCAGAAGUAGUUAGCCUAACCGCAAGGAGGGCGAUUACCUCGGUAGGAUUCAUGACUGGGGUG